GACGAACGCUGGCGGCGUGCCUAAUACAUGCAAGUAGGACGCUGAAGAGAGGAGCUUGCUCUUCUUGGAUGAGUUGCGAACGGGUGAGUAACGCGUAGGUAACCUGCCUUGUAGCGGGGGAUAACUAUUGGAAACGAUAGCUAAUACCGCAUAACAAUGGAUGACACAUGUCAUUUAUUUGAAAGGGGCAAUUGCUCCACUACAAGAUGGACCUGCGUUGUAUUAGCUAGUAGGUGAGGUAACGGCUCACCUAGGCGACGAUACAUAGCCGACCUGAGAGGGUGAUCGGCCACACUGGGACUGAGACACGGCCCAGACUCCUACGGGAGGCAGCAGUAGGGAAUCUUCGGCAAUGGGGGCAACCCUGACCGAGCAACGCCGCGUGAGUGAAGAAGGUUUUCGGAUCGUAAAGCUCUGUUGUAAGUCAAGAACGAGUGUGAGAGUGGAAAGUUCACACUGUGACGGUAGCUUACCAGAAAGAGACGGCUAACUACGUG
rnacentral:rRNA from 1 species